rnacentral:rRNA from 1 species
UGCAAGUCGAACGCUUUUUCUUUCACCGGAGCUUGCUCCACCGAAAGAAAAAGAGUGGCGAACGGGUGAGUAACACGUGGGUAACCUGCCCAUCAGAAGGGGAUAACACUUGGAAACAGGUGCUAAUACCGUAUAACACUAUUUUCCGCAUGGAAGAAAGUUGAAAGGCGCUUUUGCGUCACUGAUGGAUGGACCCGCGGUGCAUUAGCUAGUUGGUGAGGUAACGGCUCACCAAGGCAACGAUGCAUAGCCGACCUGAGAGGGUGAUCGGCCACACUGGGACUGAGACACGGCCCAGACUCCUACGGGAGGCAGCAGUAGGGAAUCUUCGGCAAUGGACGAAAGUCUGACCGAGCAACGCCGCGUGAGUGAAGAAGGUUUUCGGAUCGUAAAACUCUGUUGUUAGAGAAGAACAAGGAUGAGAGUAAAAUGUUCAUCCCUUGACGGUAUCUAACCAGAAAGCCACGGCUAACUACGUGCCAGCAGCCGCGGUAAUACGUAGGUGGCAAGCGUUGUCCGGAUUUAUUGGGCGUAAAGCGAGCGCAGGCGGUUUCUUAAGUCUGAUGUGAAAGCCCCCGGCUCAACCGGGGAGGGUCAUUGGAAACUGGGAGACUUG